rnacentral:rRNA from 1 species
UGGGGAAUUUUGCACAAUGGGGGAAACCCUGAUUCAGCGACGCCGCGUGAUUUAGAAGGCCUUCUGGUUGUAAAAAUCUUUUCUAUGGGAAGAAAAUGACAGUACCAUAGGAAUAAGGACCGGCUAAUUACGUGCCAACAGCCGCGGUAAUACGUAAGGUCCGAGCGUUGUCCGGAAUCAUUGGGUGUAAAGGGUACGUAGGCAGGUAAGCAAGUUAGAAGUGAAAUGCUAUCGCUCAAAAAUAGUAAGCUUUUAAAACUACUAAUCUUCAGGUAUGGAAGGGAGAGUGGAAGUCCAAGUGUAGCGGUGAAAUGAGCAGAUGUUAGGAGGAAGACCGCUGGCGAAGACGGCUUUCUGGCCAGAACCUGACGAUGAGGUACGACAGCGUGGGUAGCAAACAGG